CCUAUAAAACAAAGGAUGCUAUUGUUGAUUCAAUGUGAAGAAAUUAACACUUAAAAAAGACAAUGGCAAGUAAUUAUUUUGUAUCAAGGUCUGGUCUCAAUCUCAUUGCCUUAGUUAUAUCUGUGAUGUUUAUUUCAAAUGCUAGCGUGAUUCCGUGCACAGAAGCAGGAUUAAUCAACCAUAGAGAACUUUAUCAGAAGCCAAAGUGUCCACCAUGCCUAUGUUGCCAAUCAACAGUACCUCCGCCACCAUGUUGUUAUUGUGCCUGUUACGUUACUCAGUCUCAUAAUAAUAAUAAUCCAUAAACUUGGGGUUAAGCAACCAAAAUGUGAGAAUUGCAACUGUUGCCAACCAAAUACGCCGUCGUGUUGCGUUUGCGCUUGUUUCGUUCCGUUUACGGCCGCCGUGGACCGGCCGUGAUCAAGCAAAUUAAUGAUGAGAAGAUCAGAGACAUUGUGUGAUCAUUUCUACAUAAAAAGAAAAUAAUUUGGUCCUGUAAUUAAUGUUUUUGGCAAUGUGUUUUGGGUGAUUUGAAUUUUUGUUUU